UUGCAAAAUUUUCAAAAAAAUUUGCAUAACAACAAGCCGUUACUGUUAUGUUAUGGCUGUACAGGCCCGUUUCUAUUACUCACGACUGUGACUACGAACAUGGCUGCGAUUGCGAUUUAAAACCAUGAUUGGAAGCUCAUUUUUUUCUUAAUCAAGAAUGUUAUGCUAAGUUUGGUUGACUAAUUUUUGUAAUUACUAGGGAAAAACAUCUUCAAAUGCUAUUAGUUAUACUUGUAUUCUCCUUCCUUCUAUAUAUAUGCAAUGUAAGCAGUGUUAUCUAGGCGGAAGGCAUCAAGAUACCUUAUGGCCUUAGGUGAGAGGCAAGGCGAGAGCCUUUUUGAAACAAGGCGCCAUAGCCUAAAUUGCUUAGAUUUUAUAUAUAUAUACUUUUAACUGGUUUCAUAAGUAAAAGGCAAAUUAAAAAGAAUAAAAAAACAUAUUAUUUGCACCAUGAACUAGGCUGACCAUAUUAACCCAAAAUUGUUCUCAUACAUCAAGAUAUAUAUUGGGGAACUAGGACACUAAUAAGAAAUGUAUAAAGUAAUUGCAAGGAAGACCACAUCAAAUCAUCAACUCAAUCAUCUUCAUAAAUCAAACAAAUUGCAUAUCACAAAACUGAAAAAAGUGACCUAUACACCUUUAACUGAUCUGUAUUGUUGUGCAAAUAAUGAUAUUUAUAGUUACAUCAUGAUAAGGAUAAACACACAGCAAACUAAACUUAGCUAUUUGUUACAGUAAGUUUGUUGCAACAGAUUACUCUUAUCAAAAUUAGCUUAUCUUCAACAAGUAGCCUAAACAAUUAGGGAAGAAUUAAAAUAAAAUUGUUAUUAU
rnacentral:misc_RNA from 1 species